rnacentral:rRNA from 1 species
UACCAGCACCCCGAGUGGUCGGGACGAUUAUUGGGCCUAAAGCAUCCGUAGCCGGUUCUACAAGUCUUCCGUUAAAUCCACCUGCUUAACUGAUGGGCUGCGGAGGAUACUAUAGAGCUAGGAGGCGGGAGAGGCAAGCGGUACUUAGUGGGUAGGGGUAAAAUCCGUUGAUCCAUUGAAGACCACCAGUGGCGAAGGCGGCUUGCCAGAACGCACUCGACGGUGAGGGAUGAAAGCUGGGGGAGCAAACCGG